rnacentral:rRNA from 1 species
UGUUCCUACGGGACGCAGCAGUGGGGAAUAUUGCACAAUGGGCGAAAGCCUGAUGCAGCAACGCCGCGUGAAGGAAGAAGGCUUUCGGGUUGUAAACUUCUUUUCUCAGGGACGAAGCAAGUGACGGUACCUGAGGAAUAAGCCACGGCUAACUACGUGCCAGCAGCCGCGGUAAUACGUAGGUGGCAAGCGUUAUCCGGAUUUACUGGGUGUAAAGGGCGUGUAGGCGGGGACGCAAGUCAGAUGUGAAAACCACGGGCUCAACCUGUGGCCUGCAUUUGAAACUGUGUUUCUUGAGUACUGGG